rnacentral:lncRNA from 1 species
GUCCAUGACAUCUAUUUCCCGGAAUUACAGAAGAGUACACUUUAUGAUGAUAUUAUUGAUUCUAUUUUAUAUAGGACGGUGAAAUAGAUUUUAACUUUUGCCCUGCACUCAAGAAAUGUAGAUCAGCGACCAAGAUGUGGCGGACCCGGGUUGUGUAUAGGAUUUGGCCCAGUUGGUGUCGCUCUCAGUGAACGAUCGCCUAAAGUUACCUUCCUAUGAAAUUGCUCCUGCUUCAUAAGAUCAUACCCUCUUUUUUGAGGAUGUAGAAGGAUUUCUUCAGCAUUUUCCUUUUGAAAACUCACGGGAAAUAUGCACAAGACGAUCAGGAGAAAAGCUAAUACUUUUGCUGGUGUAGGAUAUUGGUCCAUUUUUAUAGAAAUAUAGCUGAAAAUAUAGAGGUAAUGUUUGAUGCACAUUAGGGAGCUUGUUAUAUAGGACACAAAAUAAAAUAUGUAAAAAAUUCAUAAUUAAUGGGUAUUUAAUUUUUUCAUUGUCCAAUUCAAGAUUUUGUGGUGAACUUGAAAUCUGAUGCAUAGAACAAUAGAAUUUUCUAAAAGCUUUAAAGUAAAUAUGAAGCAGGUAUUGAGUGUAGGCAUAAUCUUUUAAUGAAAUAAAUAAAUUAGAAUACGGAAAAUUAGGUAAGAGUGUAAUUGGGUUUCCAUACUUGUUCUCUAUUUCCGUGUGUAUUCUUGACUUUCUUUGUAUAACGAAAGUGAUGGAGAGGAAGACAAUUUUCUUCUCUCCAAAAUUUAUAUCAAACCCAUUUCUUAAUAGAAAGUAAAAGUUGUCUAAUUAUCAUUCACAAAAUCUGAUGCAUAGGAUCAGAGAAUUUUCUAUAUUCUUUAAAGUAAAUAUGAAACAGGCAUUGAGUGAAAAUAUAAUCUUUUAAGGACAUAAAUAAAAUAGAAUAUGUAUAUUAGGUAAGAGUGCAAUUGGGUUUCCAUAUUUGUUCUCUAUUUCCAUAUGUGUAUUCCUUAUUUUCUCUAAAUAAUGAAAGUGAAUGAAAGGAAGACAAUUAUCUUCUUCUCACCAAAGUUUAUAUCAAACCUAUUUCUCAACAGUGGCAAUUAGUCAAAGUUCUUUAAAUGUCCUUCACAAAAUCUGAUGCAUAAUCAUCGAAUUUUCUAUAUGCUUCAAAGUAAAUAUGAAGUAGAUAUUGAGUGCAAACAAGGGUGGACCCACAGUGGGUCUUGGUGGGUCACCUAACCACCAACUUUCAUUUUUAUUUAUUUAUCAAAAGUCACAUUUUCACUUGAAUUUCCCUUUCAUUCAUCCCGAUUAUCUGGCUUUAAAGUAUAAACAUUUGCUUUUUUCUAAUUUCUUGCUAGAUGUGUUUAUCCCUAAAUAUGCGUCUAUUGCCUUGAUACGAUAUAUGUGUUGGCUCUUAUUUUUUUGAAUAGGUUAACAAGAAAUAGAAGUGCGGCAAGUGCCUGAAAAUUAACCUUGAUGACUUUUCCAAAAGAAUGCUACUACUCAAGAAGAAGAAAUAUGCAACAGUAAAAGUGUAGUUUAAGGACGGCAAACCUCAUGAGAUAGCUUUUAAUAUAUCUGUUGAGAUUCUUUAAAAGUCUUUUCAGUGUGCUGUUUUCCUUUGAAUGUUCAUGAAUUUGAGUUUGGUGUUGACCAUUGAGUGGAAAGGACUUGAUAUGGUUUGGCGAGAUUGGCGCUUGCUAUUAAAGGAAUUAGGUGAUUUCUGCCUCAGUCAAAUUUUUAAUGAUGUUUGUUGGGUAGCAGAUCCCUGAACUUCUACAUUUCUCUUUGAAUCCCACUUGUUAUAGUUGGCACCAAACUAGAUAUGUUUCAACACAACAAGCUCUAGUUAGUCUUAAGUUUUCUGCUGAAAUUGUCAUAGUUGUGUGUGUGUUUUUUGUCAUCUCUACUUAUCAGGUGGGUAAAACAAGUGUGCUAAAAACAACCUCAUAUUUAUCUUAUGAAUUUGGCCUUUUGUAGUUUUGAUUGAACCCCACUAAUUAAAUUGUUUUUGCAUCCGCCACUGAGUGCAAAUAUAAUCUUUUAAGGAAUUAAAUAAAUUAGAAUACGUAGAUUAGGCAAGAGUACAAUUGAGUUUCCAUAUUUAUUCUCUAUUUUCAUAUGUGUUUUCUUGAUUUUCUCUAUCUAAUGAAAGUGAAUGAGAGGAAGAUUAUUAUCGUCUUCUCUCCAAAGUUUAUAUCAAAUCUGUUUCUCAACAGAAGCAACUAGUAAAUGUUGUCUAAUUAAUCCUUAACAAAAAAAUCUUAUGCUUAUAAUCAUAGGAUUUUCUAAAUGUUUUAAAGGAAAUAUGAAGUAGGCAUUGAGUGCAGAUAGAAUCUUUUAAGGAAAUAAAUAAAUUAGAACACGUAAAUUAGGUAAGAGUACAAUUGAGUUUCCAUAUUUGUUCUCCAUUUCCAUGAGUGUAUUUUUUAUUUUCUCCAUCUAAUGAAAGUGAAGGAGAGGAAGACAAUCAGCUUCUUCUCUCCAAAGUUUAUAUCAAACUCGUUUCUCAGUAGAAGCUAUUAGUAAAAGUUCUCUAAACAUCCUUCACAAAAUUUGAUGCAGAGAAUCAUAGAAUUUUUUAAAUGCUUAAAAUUAAAUAUGAAGUAGAUAUUGAGUGUAGCUAGAAUGUUUUGAAAAGAUAAAUCAAUUAGAAUACAUAGAUUAGGCAAGAUUGCAAUUAGGUUUCCAUAUUUGUUAUCUAUUUCUAUAUGUGUAUUCUUGGUUUACUAUGUAUAGUUAAAGUGGAGGAGAGGAAGAUAAUCAUCUUCUUCUUUCUAAAGUUCAUAUCAAACCUGUUUCUCAACAGACUCAAUUAGUAAAAGUUCUCUAAUUGUCCUUUAAAAAAUUUGAUGCACAGAAUCAUAGAAAUUUCUAAGCUCAAUAUAAAUCCGAAGCAGAUUAUGAGUGCAUAUUGAAGCAAUUAGUAGAACUUCUCCACAUAUCUAAAUGUAUCAGAAGAAACUAUGUCUCUCAAACUAUGUAUAAUGACAAACAAAAGUUCGCUGCAUAAAUGAUGAAGAAAAUUUACAAGAGAACAAAAAUUUUGAUUAUUGUUAGAGUAACUUGAAAAAAGUGCAAUUCUUUUGAAAGCUAUUUGUUUGAGUAUAUCUGUCCACUGCCACCUUUUUCCAUGGCUUUCUUACCCUAUUUGACCUCUUUUAAGAAUUACUGGAUAGAUCGGCCUUUUCUGAUUGUUCCUUCUCAAACUUGACUGGCUUGUCCCUAGGACAUGUCAUUUUGUAAGUCCCCCUACAAAUGACUUUUCGGACUUAAAGCAAUCAGUUUUCAUUAAUUUCUCAAGUUGUUUGUCUAUACCUGCUUGCAUCUUGUCUUCAAUGUCUUUCAUCGACAUGUACAACAUAUUCAUAAUGGAUUGAGUAUAACAGACCAUUGUCACAUAUUUUGUUAGCAUCAUCUGUGGCAACCUAGAAACUUGAGUUCUCAAUAAAUUGGGAAACAUAAUAAUGAUCAACCACUAAGAGAACAAUAAUCUCAUCCCCAAACCUCUAGUUUUAUAAAACCUGUGAGAAACCACUUUGAUUAUUACACUUCUCUGAAGUACCCAAAAAUUUUACUUAGAGAAAUCCCCAAUUUGUACUAUAUAGAGAAAAAUAAUUGUGAGAAUCCACACCUAAAGAUUGAAAGAAAAAUUGUUUUUCUCUUCCAAUAGCCCCAUUUUUCCUCUUCGUUCAGCAACCUCUAUUUUUCUAUUUUCCAGUUGUACAGUCGCCGUUUUACCAAAUUGUUUCCCUUAUGUGACUUCUAAUCAUAUUAUAGUAUAUUUGGGCUAUUUAUCCCUUCAUGGGCUGGAAGACCAUAUCACAAUCUUUUUUUCUCCCCCAUAAAGAAAGGAGUUAUCCUUUAACAGAUUAGUUAUAGUCCAAACGACCAGUCCUACAUAAAGCUCAAGUUUUUCUUGGGUCACUAUUUUUGUCAUUAUAUCAUCCAGAUUCUUUUCGGUAUGAAUCUUCUCUAAUAUUAUCAAUUAUUCCGUUACUACUUGUUGUAGCCGAUGUUAUUCACAUAAAUGUGCUUUAUCCAAGAAUGAUAAGUAGCAUUCUUGCUCAAUCUAAUACGCUCUGUCUGUCGCAAUUAACUGCAUACCCAUCUUGCUUUGAACCCAAAUCUUGGAGAAAUUUCAUACAAAACUUUUUUUUUUCUUCAGUUGCUAUAAUAUACUCAGCCCAAGUUGAAAAUAAGGCAACAUACUUUUGUAAUUUUGACUACCAUGAGACUGCUCCCCUUGCGAAAGUAACUAAGUAUCUCGAUGUUGAUUUUCUACCAUUAAGAUCACCAGUCAUAUCUACAUCUGUAAAGCCCUCUGAAAUUGGUUUUGAACCUCCAAAGGUCAAGAACAUCUUUGAAGUACUUUUCAAGUAUCAAAAGAUCCAUUCACUAUCCCACAAUGAUCUUUAUCGGGUCUAAGAAGAAAUCCGCUGACUACGCCAACUACAUGAUCAAUAUCUGACUUUGUACAGGCCGUAGGAUACAUUAAACUCCCAAUCGUAGAGGAAUAAGAAAUGUCUGCUAUUCGUUUUUAUUAAGAAGGACAAGUCAUCUUACUCAAUUUGAAGUGACUACAAAAUGGUGUUUCAACUGGUUUAGUAUUCAUCAUUUUGAACCUUUCCACCACACUUUCUAUAUAUUUUUCUUGUGGUAACCAUAACUUUUUGGCUUUCCUACCAUGGCGAGUACACAUUCCUAAAAUUUGUCAUGCUGGUCCAUGAUCCUUCAUGUCAAGCGACUUGAACAAAUCUAUCUCCGACUUGCGAAUCAACUGACCAGUAGCAACAUAUCAUCUACAUAUAUCAAAAGGAUGAUAAAGUUUCCACCAUGAAAUUUUCUAACAUAAACGCAAUAGUCUACAUCUUUCAUGGUAUGAUCAUGACCUACCACAAAUGAAUCAAACUUCUUAUACCAUUGUCUUAGAGCCUGUUUCAACCCAUACAAACUCUUUUUCAACUUACAAACCAUAUAUUCCUUUCCUCUUACUUUAAAUUCCUCUGGAUAAACCAUGCAGAUUUCUCACUCCAAAUCACCUUGGAGAAAGGCGAUCUUUACAUUUAAUUGCUCAAGCUCAAGAUCCAAACUAGUUGCUAAACCUAAAACCAUUGGAAUGGAAGUCAUUUUGACAAUAGAAGAGAAUAUCUCAUCGAAAUCAAUCUUUUUUAUCUGACUGAAGCACUUCAUCGCAAAUCGAGCUUUAUACUUCACUAGCCCUUUCCAAUCUUUCUUCAACUUGAAUACCUAUUUAUUCUUCAAUGCCUUUUUGCCUUUAAAAAGCUCUACUAGCUUAUAAGUGUUAUUCUUCUCUAAAGAAUUCAUCUCUUCCUGCAUAGCCUUCGCUCAGCUCUAUUUGUCCUUUUGAGAUUGUACCUCUUGAAAGCAUUCUAGCUCUUCCUUAUCAGUUACCAACACAUAAUCUGAUACUGGAUACCUAGUUGUUGGAUGAUGCUCCUUAGUAGACCUUCUAAUAUGAGUUUAUGAUGUAGUAGGUUGCUCUCUCUGUUUAACAUCCUCUAGAUCAUCUUCAUCAACCCCUGCUAGCUCAUCACCAUUCUAUCAAUGUGUGUCUCUAUCUUCUCGAGUAGCAUUAUUUGGAGACAAAGAGACAGGUGUAAGGUUAGUGACACCUUCAGCGACACAUCUUUGAUACUAGAUUUCUCGAAAUAUGCUAACUUUUGAUUUUCAUCAAAAAUCACAUCUAUAUUUCUGAUUAAUUUCUUCUUUUUCAGAUCCCAAUAGUCUAUAGCAUCUCAGUAGGCAACAAAAAUGCAAGUAUUAGCUUUAUCAUCUAGCUUCAAUUGUUGUUUCUUAGGCACAUGUGCACAUGCAUUGCACCUAGAAAUCUUCGAGUCAAAAUAAAAAAUAUCCUUUCCCGUCUACACCUUCCUGGAAUCUCAAAAUUCAAAGGAACUGAUAGAGAACAAUUGAUUAUAUAGCACAGAGUUCGAAUUAUUUUACUUAAAAUGAUUUAAGUAACCCAACCAUCCUUAACGUACUUCUAACCUUUUCCACAAUGGCACCGUUCAUUUUCUUUGCUAUAGCAUUGUGCAGUGAGAUACCUGGAAUAAUCUUCUCAUGUCUAAUAUCAUGCUUUGAGUUGUAAUAUUCAAACACUUUAGACAUGUAAUCCCCUAUGAUGUCAGUUCGAAAACACUUUAAAACUUCUACUUUAUCGUUCCACCAUGUCAUGAAAUUUCUUGAAGCACUGAAAAACUUGGUCUUUGGAUUUUAAUAAAACACCCAUAGCUUUCGUGAAGCGUCAUCAAUAAAGUAAGAAAGUAUUUAUUGCUACCUAAGAACUCCAUCUCAAUAGGAAUAUAAACAUUUAAAUAGACCAAAUCUAAAAUAUUUGAUUUUCUCAUAGAGAACUUCUGAAAGAAACUCUAUGCUAGUUACCAAGUAAACAAUAAUCACAUGAAUUUAAUGAUAUACUUUUAAUAAAAGGAAUGAAGGACUUCCUUACCAAAAUCUACAAUCCUUUCUCACUCAUAUGAGCCAAUCGCUUGUGUCACAAGUCCGGUGUAGAAUCACUUUCAGUUGCAUUUAUCAUCUCACUACACACUUUUACUUGUGUCUUUUAAAGUGUGUAACAAAUCUUUCCUCUAGAAAACACCUUAGACCCUUUCAUUAGUUUUCAUCUUCAACUACUAAAAUAACUGUCAUAUUCCGUUCAUCAAAGGCAUGUUGAUAAGCAUAUUUUAUACACUUAUUCAGGGUUUUAAAUAAUGACAUUUUGUAGUUCUUCUGAUGAAAUAUUGGCAAAUAUGUAUUAUAUUAUGUCUAAUAGGUAAAAUUCAUGAUUUUUUUUAAAGAAUUGGAGAAAACAAGCAAAAAUUAGAGAAAAAAUGGCGAAAUCAAAACUAUGGGUGAGUAAAAUGCAACAUUCCAAUAGUUGUGUCCGAUUGCAAGAUGGCAAUUCAGGAACGUUAAGUCAAUUGUACGAGAAGAGAGCUAACGGGAUGAAAAAUUGUCAAAAAGGAUCAAUAUUCAAAAUACACACUUGGAAAAGUUUAGGGACCAAUAUAUAGUUUGGUCGAAAAAUGGCAAUACCAUGUGUGUUGUUAGGAUCUUGCAUAAACUGAUGUCACCCUAAAAUAAGUGAAAUAGAAAGAAAUCAGGUUGUAUAAAAAAAUAAAAAGAGAUCUUGCAUAAACUAAUGUCCGUGGUAACAGUGUCAACAACUUGCUCGAGAAAAUUCCACAAGUGUAUGAGAUUAUUGUACAAGUAAUAAGAUUUGUGAGUCAAGAAUAUCGUUCCCACGUGGAAUAAGGUCUACUUUGUAAUUCAAUAGUUUUUAUCAAAUUCGAAUUGUAGUAACAUCAAAAGAGAAUUUGGUUUUGUCAUUUAUACUAAUUUCUACUCUAAGAAAGCAAGUAUAUAUGAUGUUUCAUCUAUGUGAAUACUUGUAUUGGGUUUAUGUAUUCCCUUAUUUCCAUCUAUUUCAACUCUCAAUAAUUAACCUAUUCAAUUCAUUCAUUUUUUACGACCGAUAGAGCUAAUAUUUUAAAUGCUAUUUCCCAUGAUAUACCAACCUAGAACUAACAUAAGACUAUUCUAUUCCUAGUCUAAAUUCAAAUGAAAGUCAUGCAUCUUUUUUAGAUUGUCAAUAAGAUUGUAUGUGGAAAAAAGAUUAUUCCUAAUUCUAACAAUUUGUAGUAAAUUCAAAGGCACGGGAUAGCACUUUAUUUAGGACUUUAUUUGUCUCUUAAAAAUGAGUGAAUAGGGAUAUAAAUAAGUCUCCAAGAUCAUUGAAAUCAAAAUAGACGUUUGUUGACGAUUAUGCACUAAAGACAAACCGAACAACUUAGAUAAAAAGAAUGUAUAUGAAAGUCUUUGAUACCUGGGAAUUUACAUUGUGCUUUGAAAGAAUAAGAAUGUGGCUUCGAAAAUUCAUAUAUAAAAGCCACAUUCUUAUAGAUGUCCAUUAUAUUGUUCUUUGAAAGAGUAUGUGGUUUUGACAAUAAGAAUGGGGCUCAAUGAGAUUUUGAUGACGUUAGAGAAUUGACACAAAUAUGAUAAGUUUGCUACCCGAAGCUAUCCAGAAUUUAGGUUAUCAAAAUAGCAGAAUAGAGUCUCCUAUGUGUGACUAGUCAAACAAGGAAUUUUUUUCUGAUAACAAUGUAAAAGGAAAGAUCAAACUCAGAAUAAUCAAAAGAAUGGCACCAUGUUCAAUGCCUCUAAAUAGCACUGGAGAACCCCUAGAUUCUAUGGAACCCCUUACAACAACAAAAAAUAAAGCGAGUACUCAAUAGGUGCAAAAGUUUAAAGUUGGUAAAGUUAGACCUUACUAAUAAUUCUCAAAAAAGACGUAUCAAAAUGUAAGAUUCCUUUUCUCUCUUGAUAGUUGAAACAUUCAUCCCUUGAUCUCUCUCUCCAACUUUCUUUUUUUUUUUUGGUCAAUGGGUUGAAAUUUGACAUGUUAAAGUUAGAUUGUACUGUAAGCAGAGCUUCAAUAUAAAGCUUUUGCAACUUAAGAUGAGUUAGAGAAAAUAAUAUGAAAUAUGAAGUUUUAUUAAGUCCAUGACAUCUAUUUACUUGAAUUAGAAGAAAGUACACUUUAUGAUGAUAUUAUUGAUUCUAUUUUAUAGAGGACGGUGAAAUAGAUUUUAACUUUUGCCCUUCACUCAAGAAAUGUAGAUCAACGACCAAGACGUGGUGGACUCGGGUUGUGUAUAGGAUUUGGCCCUUCUGGUGUCACUCUCAGUGAACAACCGCCUAAAGUUACCUUCCUAUGAAAUUGCUCCUGCGUCAUAAGGUCAUACACUCUUUUUGAGGACGUAGAAGGCUUUCGUUAGCAUUUUCGUUUGAAAAAUCAUGGGAAAUAUGCAAAGACAAUCAAGAGAAAGGCUAAUACUUUUG